AGAACGAACGCUGGCGGCAGGCUUAACACAUGCAAGUCGAGCGCCUGGAGCAAUCCAGGAGCGGCGGACGGGUGAGUAACGCGUGGGAACAUGCCCUUUGGUUCGGAAUAACUCAGGGAAACUUGAGCUAAUACCGGAUACGUCUGGAGCUGUGAGGCUUUGGAGAAAGAUUUAUCGCCGAAGGAUUGGCCCGCGUCCGAUUAGCUAGUUGGUGAGGUAACGGCUCACCAAGGCGACGAUCGGUAGCUGGUCUGAGAGGAUGAUCAGCCACACUGGGACUGAGACACGGCCCAGACUCCUACGGGAGGCAGCAGUGGGGAAUAUUGGACAAUGGGCGCAAGCCUGAUCCAGCCAUGCCGCGUGAGUGAUGAAGGCCUUAGGGUUGUAAAGCUCUUUCGUCAGGGACGAUAAUGACGGUACCUGAAGAGAAGCCCGGCAACUUCGUGCCAGCAGCCGCGGU
rnacentral:rRNA from 1 species